GGGCAUGUAGCUCAGUGGUAAAGCAACCCACCAGCUAGGGGCCCGUCCUAGGUUCAAUUCCUAGACUGUCCA
rnacentral:tRNA from 1 species